CAAGAGCGUAUGUAAAAGUUGUUGCAGUUAAAAAGCUCGUAGUUGAACCUUGGGUUUGGUUGGCCGGUCCGCUUUUUUGCGAGUACUGGAUUCAACCGAGCCUUUCCUUCUGGCUAACCAGUCGUUUCGGCGGCUGGCGAACCAGGAUUUUUACUUUGAGAAAAUUAGAGUGUUCAAAGCAGGCAUUAGCUUGAAUAUAUUAGCAUGGAAUAAUAGAAUAGGACGUUAUGGUUCUAUUUUGUUGGUUUCUAGGACCAUCGUAAUGAUUAAUAGGGACGGUCGGGGGCAUAAGUAUUCAGUUGUCAGAGGUGAAAUUCUUGGAUUUACUGAAGACUAACUACUGCGAAAGCAUUUGCCAAGGACGUUUUCAUUAA
rnacentral:rRNA from 1 species